GACGAACGCUGGCGGCGUGCCUAAUACAUGCAAGUAGAACGCACAGUUUAUACCGUAGCUUGCUCCACCAUAGACUGUGAGUUGCGAACGGGUGAGUAACGCGUAGGUAACCUGCCUGGUAGCGGGGGAUAACUAUUGGAAACGAUAGCUAAUACCGCAUAAUAUUAAUUAUUGCAUGAUAAUUAAUUGAAAGGUGCAAUUGCACCACUACCAGAUGGACCUGCGUUGUAUUAGCUAGUAGGUGAGGUAACGGCUCACCUAGGCGACGAUACAUAGCCGACCGGAGAGGGGGAUCGGCCACACUGGGACUGAGACACGGCCCAGACUCCUACGGGAGGCAGCAGUAGGGAAGCUUCGGCAAUGGACGGAAGUCUGACCGAGCAACGCCGCGUGAGUGAAGAAGGUUGUCGGAUCGUAAAGCUCUGUUGUAAGAGAAGAACGGGUGUGAGAGUGGAAAGUUCACACUGUGACGGUAUCUUACCAGAAAGGGACGGCUAACUACGUG
rnacentral:rRNA from 1 species